rnacentral:piRNA from 1 species
UGAGGAAUUUAUGAUAGAGGACAAAGGUU